CCAAAUAUAUCUGCACUAAAUUCUUGUCAUUCACUGACCACUGAACUGUACGGCACUUGUAACUAUAUGCUUCCAGCAUAUAUUUGUGGAAAUAUAUAUAUUUUCCGGAUAGCACUAUAUAUAUGUGUGUGCAAUAUGUAUGUUGCUCGCACUCGGAAAUUAUCACGUCUUUACAGAUCGAUCAACUUUCUUAUAUUGUUUCAAAGCAGUAAUAGACGAUGGACUGAGUAGCCAGUGCAGCAGAGUUUUGAGCUUUUUACUAACUGUGCAAUCGUAUGAUCCAGAACAUUCGCAGCAGCAUAAAACGAUCGUCUAAUGCACAGCAUAGCUUAACUGUGCAAUCGUACGAUUGCCGUCUAUGCUUCCCACUGUCCGUCGCUUGUAUGUGUUCAUGGGCGUUCGGACUUAAGAGCGGCUAAGGCUUUGAUCCAACCUUAAGAGCGGCUAAAGCUUGAUCGUUCGAAAUAUCACUAGGGGGUCUCACGAGACGGAAGAAGAUAACCAAUUCCCUAUAUUUUGUGCUGGCUACUACACCACAGAUAAUUAUACAAGACCUGCUCGACGAAUAAUUAUCUGAAGAACUUGAUUAGGAGAGAUUAUUUCCUGAUUUGAAUGUCUUUCAGAUGAUACACGCCGAGAUAUUUCUUGUUCUCAUCGACCAAUUCGUAAUAGUACGGACUUCGCUUUUUAAUUACCUGAGCGGGAAUGAACACAGGGGCUAGUUAGAACUAAACUUUUUUAUAGCACUACUUUGUGUGAAAUUUUUAGCAUAUACCAAAUCUCCAAUCUUUAAUUGUGUAUCACGGCAGCGCAAAUUGUAUCUAUGCGAAUUUUCUUCGUGUGCCUUAUUGACAUUCGCUUUAGCCUGUUGCCGGAUUAGCUGUAAGGAAUCUGGGUUCUCCAUUCUAGUAUCGUCGUUCAAAAGGUCUAGUUUACGCAAGAGUGCGUUUUCCCUCAGGAUAGCUGGUGCAUUUUAAUGUUAUAUAAAAUAAUCUUAUCUGGUAAAGCGAAUGAUUAGAGGCCUUAGGGUCGAAACGAUCUUAACCUAUUCUCAAACUUUAAAUGGGUAAGAACCUUAACUUUCUUGAUAUGAAGUUUAAGGUUAUGAUAUAAUGUGCCCAGUGGGCCACUUUUGGUAAGCAGAACUGGCGCUGUGGAUGAACCAAACGUAAUGUUACGGUGCCCAAAUUAACAACUCAUGCAGAAACCAUGAAAGGCGUUGGUUGCUUAAAACAGCAGGACGGUGAUCAUGGAAGUCGAAAUCCGCUAAGGAGUGUGUAACAACUCACCUGCCGAAGCAACUAGCCCUUAAAAUGGAUGGCGCUUAAGUUGUAUACCUAUACAUUACCGCUAAAGUAGGAUGAUUUAUAUUACUUGUGAUAUAAAUUUUGAAACUUUAGUGAGUAGGAAGGUACAAUGGUAUGCGUAGAAGUGUUUGGCGUAAGCCUUCAUGGAGCUGCCAUUGGCACAGAUCUUGGUGGUAGUAGCAAAUAAUCGAAUGAGACCUUGGAGGACUGAAGUGGAGAAGGGUUUCGUGUGAACAGUGGUUGAUCACGAGUUAGUCGGUCUAAGUUCAAGGCGAAAGCCGAAAAUUUUCAAGUAAAAAAUCAGUGAGUAAUAUUGUCAAUCUUUUAUGAUUUUUAAAUACUUGAAUAAUUUGAACGAAAGGGAAUACGGUUCCAAUUCCGUAACCUGUUGAGUAUCCGUUUGUUAUUAAAUAUGGGCCUCGUGCUCAUCCUGGCAACAGGAACGACCAUAAAGAAGCCGUCGAGAGAUAUCGGAAGAGUUUUCUUUUCUGUUUUAUAGCCGUACUACCAUGGAAGUCUUUCGCAGAGAGAUAUGGUAGAUGGGCUAGAAGAGCAUGACAUAUACUGUUGUGUCGAUAUUUUCUCUCGGACCUUGAAAAUUUAUGGUGGGGACACGCAAACUUCUCAACAGGCCGUACCAAUAUCCGCAGCUGGUCUCCAAGGUGAAGAGUCUCUAGUCGAUAGAAUAAUGUAGGUAAGGGAAGUCGGCAAAUUAGAUCCGUAACUUCGGGAUAAGGAUUGGCUCUGAAGAUUGAGAUAGUCGGGCUUGAUUGGGAAACAAUAACAUGGUUUAUGUGCUCGUUCUGGGUAAAUAGAGUUUCUAUCAUUUAUGGUAGUUACUUGUUCCCCGGAUAGUUUAGUUACGUAGCCAAUUGUGGAACUUUCUUGCUAAAAUUUUUAAGAAUACUAAUUGGGUUAAACCAGUUAGUUCUUAUUAAUUAUAACGAUUAUCAAUUAACAAUCAAUUCAGAACUGGCACGGACUUGGGGAAUCCGACUGUCUAAUUAAAACAAAGCAUUGUGAUGGCCCUAGCGGGUGUUGACACAAUGUGAUUUCUGCCCAGUGCUCUGAAUGUCAAAGUGAAGAAAUUCAAGUAAGCGCGCGGUCAACGGCGGGAGUAACUAUGACUCUCUUAAGGUAGCCAAAUGCCUCGUCAUCUAAUUAGUGACGCGCAUGAAUGGAUUAACGAGAUUCCUACUGUCCCUAUCUACUAUCUAGCGAAACCACAGCCAAGGGAACGGGCUUGGAAUAAUUAGCGGGGAAAGAAGACCCUUUUGAGCUUGACUCUAAUCUGGCAGUGUAAGGAGACAUAAGAGGUGUAGCAUAAGUGGGAGAUAUUAGAUUUCGGUUUGGUAUCGACAAUGAAAUACACUACUCUUAUUGUUUCCUUACUUACUUGAUUAAAUGGAACGUGUAUCAUUUCCUAGCCAUUAUACGGAUAUAUUUAUUAUAUCUUAUGGUAUUGGUUUUGAUGCAAGCUUCUUGAUCAAAGUAUCACGAGUUUGUUAUAUAAUCGCAAACAAAUUCUUUAAUGAGAAAAUGCAUUUAUGUAUUUUCAAUUUGAAAAUUUUGGUAUAACUCCAAUUACUCAGGUAUGAUCCAAUUCAAGGACAUUGCCAGUAGGAGUUUGACUGGGCGCGUACAUCUCUCAAAUAAUAACGGAGGUGUCCCAAGGCCAGCUCAGUGCGGACGACAGAAACCACACAUAGAGCAAAAGGGCAAAUGCUGACUUGAUCUCGGUGUUCAGUACACACAGGGACAGCAAAAGCUCGGCCUAUCGAUCCUUUUGGUUUAAAGAGUUUUUAACAAGAGGUGUCAGAAAAGUUACCAUAGGGAUAACUGGCUUGUGGCGGCCAAGCGUUCAUAGCGACGUCGCUUUUUGAUCCUUCGAUGUCGGCUCUUCCUAUCAUUGUGAAGCAAAAUUCACCAAGCGUUGGAUUGUUCACCAUGCAAGGAACGUGAGCUGGGUUUAGACCGUCGUGAGACAGGUUAGUUUUACCCUACUAAUGACAAAACGUUGUUGCGACAGCAUUCCUGCGUAGUACGAGAGGAACCGCAGGUACGGACCAAUGGCACAAUACUUGUUCGAGCGAACAGUGGUAUGACGCUACGUCCGUUGGAUUAUGCCUGAACGCCUCUAAGGUCGUAUCCGUGCUGGACUGCAAUGAUAAAUAAGGGCAAUUUGCAUUGUAUGGCUUCUAAACCAUUAAAGUUUUAUAAUUUAUUUUAUAAACGACAAUGGAUGUGAUGCCAAUGUAAUUUGUAACAUAGUAAAUUGGGAGGAUC
rnacentral:rRNA from 1 species